CCCGCCUUCCUUCAUCUCUCCGCUUUCCAGCUUCACUUCCUAAACGAGCUCACUUUAGGCUGCCGGAGAGGAAGAGGCUCUUCCGGCCCUGAAUCAGACAAUCCCUUUUAGGAAAAGGCUCUGAUUGGUCCGAGGGGUCACGUGGGCCGACGGGCGGCUUUCCAGUCACGUGGUCAGGCUGGCCGGAACGGAAGUCCUCCAAGUGCGGGGCUCGCUCUCUGGAGCGGGCAGUGGGUAGAUCUGGGUAGACUAAGUGGCCAGGAUGCCACCAGGGGAAGAUCACUCUUAAUAUUCGUCCUUAGCACCAGCAGCAGAAGUCACGCUGGAUGGUUUACAUAGAAAAGGAGAUUAUGAAAGGAUAAAAGGGCCUUUCUGCUUCUAGCAUGGUGUCGCCAGGAACGAGGACAGCGAAAUCCUGACGAGCACGGGACUGUGCCUGUCGCUGAGGCAGCCAGAGAGGGGACCGGCGCACAGGCGGCCAGGGCCAGAGCAGCAGGUUGUGCGACCCACCGCCCUUCGCCACAGGGAAGCAGCCCUGAGCUAGUCGGGAGUCCUGGCAAAGACCGAGAAGCUGUCUCAGGAGGCCAGUGUCUCCGCUCUCACUUCCGAGUGCAGGAUCCCUUGGCGCCUCCUAGUACUACCGUGCCCUGUUAUCUAGGUCACAGGACGCUACAGUGACCCGACCGGGUCAAUGACAAGGCCCAGGACCUCUGGAAGUGAAGAAAGAUAUGGGUCAUCGCUGCAGGGGACGAACGAACGAGACCUGCCAACGUGCUUGCGGAAGGCCGGGAAAUACAGAAUCAGAGUAAAAGGUAGUCGUAAACACCUCAGGAGCAGUUACAGAAGUGAGGAUUGUGAGCUGGGCGUGGUGGCCCAGGCCUGUAAUCUCUGGACUCAGGAGGCUGAGGCAGGAGGAUCGCCAUGAGUUCGAGCCCAACCUGGGCUACAUCGUGAGCUCAAGGUCAGUCUGAACUACAUAGCAAGGCUCUGACUCAAAAAAAAAAAAAAAAAAAAAAAGAAAUGAGGAUUGUAAUUGUCAUGAAUAUUUCUUUCCUAUUUUGUUAAUAUGCAUGUGAACAUAGACACAUAAGCAAGUAUCUUUGUUUUCUUUGUAACAUCUUCUUUGUAAUGUUGAUUACCUUAAUAUUGGUACUCAAGUAUUGUGAAAUCUUCAUUCAAUAAUAGUUAAGUUAUCAAAUCUCAGGAAAAAUAUCACCCAAAGGAAAACUCUGCCUUCCAUUCUGGGGAGGGGAAUUAGUGUGUUUCCGUAUGUACACUGGAGAAUUGUACUCUGAGAAACAUAAUUAUGAACUUACUAUUGGACCUGGAGGUCCAUAUGGUUUAAGGAGAUGGUUGUCAAGUUGACAGGGGCUGGUUUUUGACUAUCGAUCCUAUGUCAACCUGACAGGAUUAAUAGCUCCGUAGCGACUGGGUGAAGCACAGUUCUGGGCGUGUCUGUGGGUGACUGACACAUGGGCCAACAAACAGGAAGCCCCACUGGGCUGUGGGCAGCACCAGCCAAUGGACUUGUAAGAUGGAUGAAAUAAAAAGGGAAAGAAGGAAGUUCGAGCAUUUUUAAAGAUCCAGUCAUUUUGAGCGCGUGUGUCCUUUGCUGCCCUGCGCUGAACGUCGGUCUCCAGAUUCUUCAGCCUUCCAUACAGACUCACACUGGAAACUCCAGUGGGCUCCAGACCUUCGACCUCAGACUGGUGCUGCUUUUUUUUUUUUGGUACCGGGGCUGAACUCGGGACCUUGCGCUUGUAAGGCAGACGGCAGAACCACUGAGCUAAAUCCCCGGCUUGGUGCUGCAUCUUUAAUCCCGCUGGUUCUGCAGCUGAGCAGCUCCUGGGUCCUCCAGCUCUCAGUGCACAGACAGCCUUAUGGACUCUCCUGCCUCAGAUCCUAUAACCUCUGUAACCUACCCUAUCAAUCCCCGUGCCUGAUUACACAUCUGUUUCCUGCUGAUUCUGUUCCUCUAGAGAACAUUAACCAAUACAGCCUUGGUGAAGGAAGAAAAUAAAGAGUAAAGAUACUGGGCGUGGUGGUCUAUGCCUGUAAUCCCAGCACUCAGGAGGCUGAGGCAAGAGGAUCCUAUGAGUUCAAGGCCAGCCUGAAUUUCAUAGCAAGACCCUGUAUCAAAAGGAAGAAAAGAGAAGAGUGUGCCAGUGUUACAGAUAACUAAGUUAGGUGCAGACUGGCUGGCAGUUAAAGGGACCAGGCCCAAGACAGACAUACCAGGCCCGUGGGAGGGCAGAGUUGACAGAAACAAGGCCCCAAGAUGGAGACGCCACGGCCAGGCCUGUGAGCCUCCCGGAGGCGAAGGGUAGCUCAGAGCUGUGCUGGAACUGUCAGAGAGAGACUCGCAGGUGCUCCGCCCUCCGUCCCACCCUCCCAGAACUGCCUCUGUGCCUCCUGCUAUGUCCCUGGCAGCACUGUGCCAGGAGACCCAGGUUAGCCUGGUUCUGACUGCAGUCACCAAGGAAGCCUGCAGAAUGACUCACUGUAUAACCUGGAACAGAGCCUCCCAUCGCCCCACCUCCAGGGCCCCUGGGGCUGUCUCUUAAUAAAACCUUCCUCCUCUCUGUCCUCAACUCCAUUGUUCAGCAUCCUGAGACACAACUCGGCACGGCUAACAGCUCGGCUGCUUCCUGUGACAUCCUCGGGGGCUCAUUCGGGAUCCCUAGGAGGAGGGAGGACCCCACUCGGAACUUUACAUUUCACAGUGAGGUGCUGCUACAUCAUGAUGCGGCCCGUCUGUUACUGCCUGUUCCUCAUGAAAUGCUACUUGCAAUGUGUAAGACUUGUUACACACACACUACGCACAAUCGAUCUCAUUCACCGUUUGUGGCACCAGCCUGUCACAGAUUUUUGUUGUUGUUCCCUUGCCAGCAGGUAUGAUUUAAAGGAAUAGGAGACUUUUUUUUUUCUUUUUUUUUGAGGCAGGGUCUCCCUUUGUAGCUCAGGCUGGCUCUGAACUCACUGUGUAGCCCAGGCUGGCCUCGAACUCAAAGCAAUCCUCCUGCCUCAGCCUCCCAAGUGCUGGGAUUACAGGCACGUGCCACCACACCCCGGCUUAAAGGAAUAGGAGACUUUUGACCCUUUUUCUAUAUGGAUAUCUUUGAUGGGUCAUCUCGUCUUUUGUGAGGAAGUCCCCAACUUUAGUCCGCUUCACAUCUGAAUGGGAUUUACUGUGUACUUAGGCCAAAGUAUGAAUCUGUCCCCACUGGCGGCCCUGUCAAAGUUCCUCCAUCUUUGGUGGCUUUGGGCCCUACUGCAUGCUUCCUUCCAGAGGGCAUGUGAGCUACUGAUUGGCUUGCCGCCCACGGCUGGGGCACAACCAAAGAUCCAGAGUCAGGAAAGAGAAUCCUUCUGGGAAUAGGCUGCUUGCUCCUGAAGAUUUCCUGAAAACUGGGAGGCUCAGGACUGGAUCGGAAGUCAAAGAAUGGGAAACUUGACGUCAUCUUCAAAAUCCUUUACUGUCCUCGACCCUGGGAAUUUUUUGAUCCGCAAACCGAAAAGAAGAGCUGCUCCAUCUUCUCUGCCCCAUGCAUGGCCUGACCACCCCUGGAAGAAAAGGAAUGGAGUCAGUGAAGUCAGUGAGGUACUGACCAGCUCUAGCGCUGCUGCAGGUGAAAGGGCAGAUGGCCUGAGGUCCUCUAUUUUCAAGACUUUCCUUGCCCUGAGAGACAAUCCUGAUUUGUGUUUAAAAUGUUUGUGUGAGGAAAAGGAAGCCAGGUACCUUUGGCCCACAAAUCUGACGUGCCCACCAUUCCAGAGGCUGAGGCGCCGCCUGCCUGCCCCGCGUGCUGAGGCUAAAGCCCCCCAGCCACCCCGUUAAGGCUUCUACAGGCGCUGUCCUUUCUCCCCAACCUAACUGAAACCCAGGAGAGCUACAUCCUCUGCAGGAAGUUGGGAGUCUGCCCCCACACCUGUGCCUGUGGUAUUUGCCCUUCUUGAGCUCAAACAAAUUGAACAGGGAUCUGGGUAAAUUUUCAUACGAUUCUGGUAAAUACAUUCAAGUCUUUUCUUCAGCGUUCCGAGACACAGCUGGGCACAUCUAACAGCUCGGGGCUGCUUCCUGUGACACCCAAAAGGAUGGGGGACCACAGCAGGGGCCACACGGGAGUCCACACCCCGGGAGGUCACCGAGGUCACAUGGGAGGUCACACUGGGAGGUCGUGGAGGUCAUAGGGAGGUCACACAGAGGCCACACCGGGAGAUCACAGAGGUCACACGGGAGGUCACACCGGGAGGUCAUAGGAGGAGCCACACCAGGAGGCCACACCGGCCAGCUGUGCCAUGCAAGCUGAGGCCUGGGCCUUUGGCCUGCUGACCGAGAGCCUCCCGGCUCCUCCCAGGGCCAGCCCGGCAGAGCCUGAGAGCAGCUUGGCUCUGUGGCUGGAGGCCCCGGGGGCCCUGGGCACCUUCAUCAGGCUCCUGGCCUGGAGGUGUCGCGGGGCCACCGAGCUGGCGGGUGGCGCCCAAGGCACUGCAGAGACAAGGGCCAGCCCAGUCACUCGCGGGCCCCCUGCACCUGGCGGGAGUGACGGCCGGCUGUGGCCAUCUGGCCUUGGUCAUCAGGGCCUGGGUCCCCCGGCCGCGGAGGCCGUCCGGAAAGGGCUCGGGGCGUCCUCCUCCCGAGGCACAGCCCCCCAGCCCCAGCCAGGGAGCCCCAACCCUCCCGCUACUCCGGCUGCGACCACGCGGUGGCGCCAGAGCCUGCACCAGGCGAGGCCGAGCAGGCGCAUCCGGGGCCUCUCGGAACCGGGCCGGGCCGUGCGUCCCCUGCCGUGUCCCGGGGCCGGCGCAGGGCGGGCGGAG
ensembl:lncRNA